AUACGGAGGAUGCGAGCGUUAUCCGGAUUUAUUGGGUUUAAAGGGUGCGUAGGCUGUUUUUCAAGUCAGGGGUGAAAUGACGGGGCUCAACUCGGGAGCUGCCUUUGAUACUGGGAUGCUGGAAUACUGUUGCCGUGGGAGGAAUGAGUAGUGUAGCGGUGAAAUUCAUAGAUAUUACUCAGAACACCGAUUGCGAAGGCAUCUCACGAAGCAGUGAUUGACGCUGAGGCACGAAAGCGUGGGGAUCAAACAGGAUUAGAUACCCUGGUAGUCCACGCAGUAAACGAUGAUAACUAACCGUUGGCGAUAGACAGCCAGUGGCCAAGCGAAAGCGAUAAGUUAUCCACCUGGGGAGUACGACCGCAAGGUUGAAACUCAAAUGAAUUGACGGGG
rnacentral:rRNA from 1 species